rnacentral:rRNA from 1 species
AUUGAACGCUGGCGGCAUGCCUUACACAUGCAAGUCGAACGGUAACAGGUCUUCGGAUGCUGACGAGUGGCGAACGGGUGAGUAAUACAUCGGAACGUGCCUAGUAGUGGGGGAUGACUACUCGAAAGAGUGGCUAAUACCGCAUGAGAUCUACGGAUGAAAGCAGGGGAUCGCAAGACCUUGUGCUACUAGAGCGGCCGAUGGCAGAUUAGGUAGUUGGUGGGAUAAAAGCUUACCAAGCCGACGAUCUGUAGCUGGUCUGAGAGGACGAUCAGCCACACUGGGGCUGAGACACGGCCCAGACUCCUACGGGAGGCAGCAGUGGGGAAUUUUGGACAAUGGGCGCAAGCCUGAUCCAGCAAUGCCGCGUGCAGGAUGAAGGCCUUCGGGUUGUAAACUGCUUUUGUACGGAACGAAAAGCCCCGGGUUAAUACCCUGGGGUCAUGACGGUACCGUAAGAAUAAGCACCGGCUAACUACGUGCCAGCCGCCGCUGUAA